AUGAAUUUACAGACUCAACUCGUCUGUCUCCUAGUGCUCUGGAUUCAGGAUGCAAAAGGGCAAAUUGUCAUGACUCAGAGUCCACAAUCCUUGGCAGUGUUUUCAGGAGACAGAAUCACUAUCAACUGCAAAGCCAGUUCCAGUGCUAGCAACUGGAUGUCCUGGUACCAACAGAAAACAGGACAAGCACCUAAGCUUCUCAUCUAUCAAGCCUCUAGCCGUCCCUCUGGGAUCCCAGACCGGUUCAGCGGCAGUGGGUCUGGCACCGACUUCACAUUCACCAUCAGUCGGGUUGAAGCAGAUGAUGCUGGAGAUUAUUACUGUCUACAAUCUCAAAGCUGGCCUCUCACACUGAUACAGACCAAUACAAAAACCUCUCCCUGCUUUCUUCAGUUUCUGUUCCCCACUGUAACCGCUGAUGCCUGUAGAAAAUCAACGUUUCUCUCCAGCUGCUGCUAUCUCAAAGUCAGACGCACUGACAGCAACUCUGGGCCCCAGGGCAGAACAAUCAAUGGGCCCCAUUAA